GGAAAGUCACGCUUGUCACCGCAGCAUGCACAACAGCCUUUGGAAAUGUCAUAGUGGCUGUAAGGAUAGGGAUCAAAUUCACCUGCUUCAAAACCACGUAAGCAAGAGCCAUUCCUCUUGCUCAAAUGGAAAAUUAAGAGUCCUUGAUUGAACGGCGUUAGAUUGCUGGGAGUCUCCGUUCCCAUCUCUGUGGAGUCGCAAUGAUUGCUCGGGAAGUUUCACACAUUCAAGUAUUCCUGUGAAGGCUAAAUCCUGCCUUCUGCAUCCAGGAAGCUUUGAACCACGACAGAACAAACAAAACCUGCUGUUCCCAGACAAAUGGCCAACUUGCCGUGCCCUGUGGAAUUUGGAUCCAGUUUAAAACUCCAAUGGCAAAGAUGAAACUAAACUGGAAAGGUACACCUGGGCUUGGAAGAAUAUCUUCCAAAGCUAUUAAACUUCUGAGUAAGACUAUAAUAUCUGAUGUGAAAAUGAGAGUCUUUUUUUUUCCUAUUUUAAUUGUUCCUAAGUGAUAUUCAUAAAAAUAUAUUAGCUUAUAAGGAAACUGCUGGAGAAUAUAAUAGGGAUUAAACUGUUAACUUUCAUAGGAUUUUAAAAUACUCUUCUAGAAGUACACCUGAACAACUUCAGGGAAUGAAUGUUUUUCCUAGAGAUCUGGUUUAAGUAACUUGCAGAAUUCUUCACUGUGGAUAAAAU
ensembl:lncRNA